rnacentral:rRNA from 1 species
UAAUACAUGCAAGUCGAGCGAACGGACGAGAAGCUUGCUUCUCUGAUGUUAGCGGCGGACGGGUGAGCAACACGUGGAUAACCUACCUAUAAGACUGGGAUAACUUCGGGAAACCGGAGCUAAUACCGGAUAAUAUUUUGAACCGCAUGGUUCAAAAGUGAAAGACGGUCUUGCUGUCACUUAUAGAUGGAUCCGCGCUGCAUUAGCUAGUUGGUAAGGUAACGGCUUACCAAGGCAACGAUGCAUAGCCGACCUGAGAGGGUGAUCGGCCACACUGGAACUGAGACACGGUCCAGACUCCUACGGGAGGCAGCAGUAGGGAAUCUUCCGCAAUGGGCGAAAGCCUGACGGAGCAACGCCGCGUGAGUGAUGAAGGUCUUCGGAUCGUAAAACUCUGUUAUUAGGGAAGAACAUAUGUGUAAGUAACUGUGCACAUCUUGUCGGUACCUAAUCAGAAAGCCACGGCUAACUACGUGCCAGCAGCCGCGGUAAUACGUAGGUGGCAAGCGUUAUCCGGAAUUAUUGGGCGUAAAGCGCGCGUAGGCGGUUUUUUAAGUCUGAUGUGAAAGCCCACGGCUCAACCGUGGAGGGUCAUUGGAAACUGGAAAACUUGAGUGCAGAAGAGGAAAGUGGAAUUCCAUGUGUAGCGGUGAAAUGCGCAGAGAUAUGGAGGAACACCAGUGGCGAAGGCGACUUUCUGGUCUGUA